rnacentral:lncRNA from 1 species
CUCUCUCUCCCCCCUUCCCUCCCCCCUUGGUGUUUCUUCCAGCUCAGCCUCCUUCUCAUUCCAUCUCUACGUGCCCAGAGCUUCAAAUACAACCCUCCCAUCACAGUCAGACGGGCACAAAACUUCAACCAGCCGUUUCUCUGCCUGGAAGCGGCGAACAUGUAACCUGGACGGGAGGCUGGAUGGGGACACAUACCAUGAGUGACAUCUUACCAGAGGGUGGCCAUGAACUUCAUCAUGUUCCACAACUGUUAAUGACCACUGGCGCUGGCCCUGCUGCUCUCUGAACUCCUCUCUGUGGAACUGUGCCCCUUCUCUGGGAAGAGUCCUUGAAGCUCUACUGAGAAUGAAACCUCUUCUUUCAGCUCAUGUCAAUCUUGGUAUUUUCCCAACAUGUUCAGGUUCUGGCUUGGAGGUGCUAUCUGUUGUUGACUUUGGACAUAAACGAAGCUGUUAUUUGCCUCUUUUGGUUUGUUAUGUUAACAAGCUUUUGGGAUUUGUUCUUUAAGAUUCCCCACCCCUAUUGUAUGAUGAUAGGUGCUGGAACCAGACUGGUUGGGUUCAAAUUUUUGCUGUCGCUAACUUGCUUUGUGAACACAUGUCAGUUACUGAAUCUCCCCGUGCCUCAGUUUUUUAAAUAUGUAAACAGGGAGUUCUCGUAGUACCCGUGGGUCUUAGUCAGUUAUUGCUAUAGAACAAACCACCCCCAGACUUAGUAACAUCAACAACAACUAUUGUUUUUUUCAUUCAUGCAUCUGGAGAGAGGCUGGGGAGGAGGAGGCUUGGGUUUGGCUUAUCUAGGUGGGGCUUGCUAGGCUUGGCUCUGAGCUGUGGAUUAAACACAGGUCUUCUCCA